rnacentral:rRNA from 1 species
UACGGAGGGUGCAAGCGUUAUCCGGAUUCACUGGGUUUAAAGGGUGCGUAGGCGGGCAGGUAAGUCAGUGGUGAAAUCUCCGAGCUUAACUCGGAAACUGCCGUUGAUACUAUUUGUCUUGAAUAUUGUGGAGGUAAGCGGAAUAUGUCAUGUAGCGGUGAAAUGCGUAGAUAUGACAUAGAACACCAAUUGCGAAGGCAGCUUACUACACAAUGAUUGACGCUGAGGCACGAAAGCGUGGGGAUCAAACAGG